rnacentral:rRNA from 1 species
GAGUGGUAACCGUUAUUAUUGGGUCUAAAGGGUCUGUAGCCGGCCGGAUGAGUCUCUUGAGAAAUCCAGCAGCUCAACUGUUGGGCUUUCAGGAGAUACUGUUCGGCUCGAGGCCGGGAGAGGUGAGAGGUACUUCAGGGGUAGGGGUGAAAUCUUGUAAUCCUUGAAGGACCACCAGUGGCGAAGGCGUCUCACCAGAACGGACCUGGCGGCAAGGGACGAAAGCUAGGGGCACGAACCGGAUUAGAUACCCGGGUAGUCCUAGCCGUAAACGAUACUCGCUAGGUGUCGGCCACGGUACGACCGUUGUCGGUGCCGUAGGGAAGCCGUGAAGCGAGCCACCUGGGAAGUACGGCCGCAAGGCUGAAACUUAAAGGAAUUGGCGGGGGAGCACCACAACGGGUGGAGCUUGCGGUUUAAUUGGAUUCAACGCCGGAAAUCUUACCGGGACCGACAGCAAUAUGAAGGCCAGGCUGAAGACUUUGCCGGAUUAGCUGAGAGGUGGUGCAUGGCCGUCGUCAGUUCGUACUGUGAAGCAUCCUGUUAAGUCAGGCAACGAGCGAGACCCACGCCCACAGUUGCCAGCGUACUCUCCGGAGUGACGGGUACACUGUGGGGACCGCCGCUGCUAAAGCGGAGGAAGGAAUGGGCAACGGUAGG